GUUUCCGAUGAUGAUCAGAGCAAAAACUUUCGUUCUUCCGAGGCAUUUGCUAUGCAAUGCGGAGGAUUCAUGGAGACCUGAACUGAGGAGAC
rnacentral:snoRNA from 1 species